rnacentral:rRNA from 1 species
UACGGAGGGUGCAAGCGUUAAUCGGAAUUACUGGGCGUAAAGCGCGCGUAGGUGGUUUGUUAAGUCGGAUGUGAAAGCCCAGGGCUCAACCUUGGAAUUGCAUCCGAUACUGGCAGGCUAGAGUACGGUAGAGGGUGGUAGAAUUUCCAGUGUAGCGGUGAAAUGCGUAGAGAUUGGAAGGAAUACCAGUGGCGAAGGCGGCCACCUGGACUGAUACUGACACUGAGGUGCGAAAGCGUGGGUAGCAAACAGG